CAGCUGAUGUGGAGAAAUGUUCGAUGCUUCAAGACUCUGAAGCUGAUUUUAUUAUGUCCACCCAGUGGCUUAUGAUGGUUGUGAAUUUCAUACCUCAACAUUGUGCGUCCCGGGAGCAGGCAUCUUUUGCACACAUUAAUUUUUUCAAAGAUGUUUUCUUGGAAUCACAACACUCCCUGGAUACAAGACGGA